GGUAGCUCAAGAUCUCAAUGUGUUUAUUUCUGUUAACUUCUCUUCCAUGCUUUACAGUUCAGCAAGGAUAUUUUAUUUUGAAUUAUUUCUGCCUCUAAUCUGUGUUUGAAUCACUGUAAUGAAUUUUCACUGCUCAGUUUUUACCUCGAUUUAAGGAUGUGAAUUCUACCAACCGCAGAGCCAAGGGUUCUCCCUUUGAAGGAAUAUCUGCCACUGGUGGUGCAGUACCUGCUUUGCAUCAGCACAUCUCAAGUAUGGUUGCCCAUACCAGACAUCUAUUAUCCUUCUGUUGUGGACCAUGUGUCCUGCUAUCUGUCCUGUAUAACAGGAGCCAAGAGAGGCCUCGAGAUCUCAAAGGUAGGAAGUAUCAAUAUUUCUGUUCAGAAAUAGGCUGAAGCUGUAUUAAAGAAAGCAGUGUGAUCUCUACCUUUAUUGGACAGGAAAAAACCCACAAAAGACAGUUCCC
rnacentral:lncRNA from 1 species